UGGGGGAUAUUGCACAAUGGAGGAAACUCUGAUGCAGCAACGCCGCGUGAGGGAAGAAGGUCUUCGGAUUGUAAACCUUAGUAGUCAGGGACGAAAGAAAUGACGGUACCUGAAGAGUAAGCUCCGGCUAACUACGUGCCAGCAGCCGCGGUAAUACGUAGGGGGCGAGCGUUGUCCGGAUUUACUGGGCGUAAAGGGUGAGUAGGCGGUAAUAUGUGUCAGAUGUAAAAGGCUAUGGCUUAACCAUAGUUGGCAUUUGAAACUGUAUUACUUGAGUGCAGGAGAGGUAAGUGGAAUUCCUAGUGUAGCGGUGAAAUGCGUAGAUAUUAGGAGGAACACCAGUGGCGAAGGCGACUUACUGGACUGUAACUGACGCUGAGUCACGAAAGCGUGGGUAGCAAACA
rnacentral:rRNA from 1 species